AUAAGCAACGUGCCCUGAAGACUGGGAUAGUCAGAGGAAACUCUGGGUAAUACUGGAUGUGGUCGUGACUCGGCAUCGAGAUACGAUUAAAUGGUUUUUCGCUUCAGGAGCGGCUUAUGGCCUAUCAGGUAGUUGGUGGGGUAAUGGCCUACCAAGCCGACGACGGGUAGCGGGUCUGAGAGGAUGAUCCGCUCGAGUGGGACUGAGACACGGCC
rnacentral:rRNA from 1 species